rnacentral:rRNA from 1 species
CCAGCAGCCGCGGUAAUUCCAGCUCCAAUAGCGUAUAUUAAAGUUGUUGCAGUUAAAAAGCUCGUAGUUGGAUUUGUGGUGUACUUCGGCGGCCCGUCACUAUGUGAUGGAGCUUGCUGAAGUCGCCAUCCUUGGGUGGAUCCUGUGUGGCAUUAAGUUGUCGUGCAGGGGAUGCCCAUCGUUUACUGUGAAAAAAUUAGAGUGUUCAAAGCAGGCUUAUGCCGUUGAAUAUAUUAGCAUGGAAUAAUAAGAUAGGACCUUGGUACUAUUUUGUUGGUUUGCGCACCAAGGUAAUGAUUAAUAGGGACAGUUGGGGGUAUUCGUAUUUCAUUGUCAGAGGUGAA